rnacentral:tRNA from 1 species
AAAUUCAGGACUAAUAGAACCAAGAGCCUUCAAAGCCCUUAAAAGAAGUAAAUACUCUUCUAAUUUCUG